GCCAGAUGCUGGCAGAGAGAAAUAAGCUAGAUACUGUCUACCCACAAUCUAAUGAAGAAGUAAGAUAUGGAAGGAAUGGUUUUAAAACGGAAAAGUUUUGUGUUUUGUUAAAGGAACAUGCAAAGUACUGGGGUAGUCAAAGGAUGGAAGAAAUCCCUCCAAGAACUGCUUUAGUUGCAUCUCACAACAAAAAGGUGAAGAAAUGGGUUGGUGAGAAUAAGCAACUUGUGCAAAAUCAUCAAGAAGGGCUUUCCAUGUGGCUCAGUGGUAAAGGCUCAGCCUGCCAACGCAGAACGCAGGAGACGCAGUUUCCAUCCCUGGGUCGGGAAGAUCUCUUGGAGGAAGAAAUGGCAAUCCACUCCAGUAUUCUUGCCUUCUCCCAUGGACAGAGGAACCUAGCUGG